CCCUACGGGGGCAGCAGUGGGGGAUAUUGCACAAUGGGGGGAACCCUGAUGCAGCGACGCCGCGUGGGUGAAGAAGCGCCUCGGCGCGUAGAGCCCUGUCAGCAGGGAAGAAAAUGACGGUACCUGAAGAAGAAGCCCCGGCUAACUACGUGCCAGCAGCCGCGGUAAUACGUAGGGGGCAAGCGUUAUCCGGAUUUACUGGGUGUAAAGGGGGCGCAGACGGCGAUGCAAGCCAGGAGUGAAAGCCCGGGGCCCAACCCCGGGACUGCUCUUGGAACUGCGUGGCUGGAGUGCAGGAGGGGCAG
rnacentral:rRNA from 1 species